rnacentral:tRNA from 1 species
AGCCGGCUGGCUCAGUCAGUAGGGCAUGAGACUCUUGAUCUCAGGGUCAUGAGUUCAAGCCCCGUGUUGCAUG